rnacentral:misc_RNA from 1 species
UUAUAUAUGGAAAAUUACUGAAGGGCCAGAUGAGGAAGAUAAGCCCCAAAUUACAGGGAGGAUUGUCACUGCUAUUCAAAUAGUUGGUGAGGGGGAAUCUCUUCAUCCCCGAGUUUGUUGGCAUUGUCACAAACAAGAAAUUCUUGUGGUCGGGAUCGGAAGACAUGUUUUAAAAAUUGAUACCACAAAAUUUGGAAAAGCUGAAGUUUUUUCAGCAGAUGAACCUCUCAAGUGUCCUGUUGACAGGUUGGUUGAUGGGGUACAACUUGUUGGUGCUCAUGAUGGAGAAGUGACUGAUUUGUCAAUGUGCCAGUGGAUGACCACUCGAUUGGUAUCUGCAUCGGUGGAUGGCACGAUAAAGAUUUGGGAAGACUGGAAGCCUCAGCCAAUUGCAAUUCUCAGGCCUCAUGAUGGUAAUCCUAUUCAUUCAGCCACCUUCCUUUCUGCUCCAGACUGCCCACAUCACAUCAUACUCAUCACUGGGGGUUUACUUAAUCGGGAAAUGAAGAUAUGGGUAUCAG